CUGUAUAGAAUUCCCCAUGAGCUACAUUUAAGACUGGAUAAAUGUACUUGACGGUAUUUUAUUUUUCUUUUGAAGAUGUUCUCGGCUGAUUAGGCCUUGCGACUGAUAACCAGCUGAGCAGGGCAAUUCUAUAAAGCCUUAAUUGGACUGUGGGAGAAAGUGAGGUGGCUUCUCCUUUAGGAUAGAGGCCCCUAGGUCUGCAAAAACUUUUAAAAGUGAGCCCCUUAAGUUUGUCUAAAAUAACAAACUUCAAUUAAGCUGGUGGUUGGUUGCAAGUAGACCAUCUAUGGAAAAAUACUUUACAUCUGAACUUGUUAAUCCAUCUAAUCGAUUUUUAUAUUCAAAGUUAUUCUGUAAAUAACUUGUAAGAAACAACUGCUUUUUGUCCUAAUCAACUUUUUAUUUCUUGCAUUUUCUUGAAUAUUCUUUGAUUCAGAAUACUCCUAAAAUAGGUGUCAGGUACUCAUUCUACUCUUCCUUUGUAUUAAGAGUUUCUGAACAUUUUAACAGUUAAAAACAGUUAUUUUACCUUGAUAUGAAUUUAAAUAGAGCUUUGAUGUCAGGGGCUUUAUGUUCUUUGCUUGAAAUAUUUUUUUUUUCUUUAAAAAGAAUAGUGUAUUUUCUUUUAAACUUGUUUUGAUUUUUUUUUUUUCAGUUCAGGUCAAACAUGCAUUUAUGGCAUAAUCUGAUUUUCAGGGCUCUGAAUGCUGUUUGUUGAUGCUGAAGUUAAAAGCAUAAGGUAAAUUGCUAUUACAGAUGUCUUUGUGUGCAAGUUCUCUAGGAGUUCAGACUUAUUCCUUGUAUUGUUGGCUAGACAAAGGACAAAGGACUUUGCACGAGGAAAGGAAAUGACUGAGUUCUGCAAUGAAUAUCCAUAUUAGGUAUAAACUAAAUAUAGGAGUGUAAUCCAGGAGUGAAGUCACAUCUGUAUAUUUUCAUGAGAAGAGCUGAUGAGAUCAGUCAGUGCUACUGGAUCAGCUUCAGAGUGUUUUGGCUCUGUUAAAGAAUUACUCUUUUGGCUAGACUUUGGUCUGUAUUUUGGAGAGCUGCUAUUUUUAAAUAAAGGAAAUAGUUUUUUACGUGUUUUUGUCUAAAAAUAAAAUGAAAGCAUAAGUACAUUUCUGUAGUCUUUCAAAAUCAUGUUUUAUCUGCCCUCGUGAGACAUGCUGUACUGGAUCUUAAUGAGGUAAGGCAACAUAUCCCAAAGGAGGAAGUUCUGCUCUGCGAAUGAAGACCUUGGAUGCCACUUCCAGAGUGGUGUAUAAUACAUUCAUAGAGGUGCCUUUUAGUAAGUGAAUUGCUCAGUGCUUGCACUGGCACAAGAAGCAGCAGAGGACAAGCCUCCCGUGGAACCUUCGUGUUCUAGUAGCUAUAGAAUAAAAAUUCCAACACCAAUUUUGGUCUAAGUGAAUGGUUUUCCUUGAUAGAGCUUUGAAUGUGCUGUUAGCAGGGGGUGCAGGUUCAAAACAGCAGCUCUGCUUCAGUGAGUUUUGAGAAUUCAAGCAUUUUUUUCUAUUUACACACAGUUCUUCCACAGACAUUGCUGUUGAUUUCAGAUUUGGAGGCAGUUGUGCUUAGCUGUGUUAUUUUUUUUUCAGAAUUUUGAAACUUUGGGUGAGCACUUGUGUAUCGAGGUGGGACUCGUUUGGGCAUUCAGUGCUGGAUCUGCUGGGGGCAUCCUGCCCAGCUGGCGGCACCUCCUUGCUCCAAGAACUUGGCUGUAGACUACCAUAAACGAGGCACUUUGUUUUGUCCCAUGCAAGUGAUGUGUGUUUGAAGGAUUAUUUGAAGAAUUAUUAAAUUUUUAAAAUUGCACUCAGUCUUCUGAACCCCAGUGACCCAGGUUUGCUGUUCUUUUCUCUAAUUUUUUCCUCUAAUUUUCCUCAGUGUUUGGUGGGGGAGAUCUUGGAAACGGGCCCCUUGGGGUGUAGCUGAACCACACACUUAAUUAACAAAUUUAAUAAGCUAGGAGACAAAAGAAACAUGUUGUGCUGAAUGGUUAACAGCAUACUCACCUUUCCUACUCUACAAUUGCAAGAAUGUGUCAAGUUGUGACUUAGCUGAUUUCAGUGAGUUUGGACAUAUUUAUGUUACAACUGAAUCACUUUGUUGAAGGUAUUGCCAUUGGAGUAGAAGGUUAGAAGAGAUGAGCUGUGAGGCUUCUGCCAUUGUUUAAUAACUUUAAUUUUCCUUAUAUCAGGCUAGGAGAAAGCCAUGCAUCUGGCUAUUCACAGUAAUACCAAGUUUUUGUAUUCAUAACAUUAAGCAAAUUUCUCCAUUGAAGAAAAUGGUGGUUAGUAUUUAAUGCAGGUUUCGAUCUGACUGUUUAUCCAAUUCUCCCAAAGGAUGAAUGUGGGAUAAUGUCUUUUCUCCAAAGAAAUAGAAGGGCUUAAUUUCUACUGAAUUACGAAGUUAUUUUAAUACAUCAUGAAAAUCCCAUAGCUUUUUCCAAAAGCUUUAUGCUGAAAAUUAGCUAGCAAUAAACAAGAGCUGCAUGAAACUGUAUGAGACAAAUCUCUUAAGUAUUUUGAUAGGAACAGCAUCACAGGGUUAAAUACAGCAUCAUCCUAAAAUGGUCAGUUGUUGCUACAGUCAAACAUCUAACACAGCAGUGGCUAAUUGGAAAGGUGAUGACUUAAGAGGCUGCUUGAAUGGGCUGAUAAACAUUCCUUUCCCUGGUUUAAUAGUCAGAUCUCAAGCACUUACUGGGAGUUCAAUUCAUUUACUUAUUUUUUUAAAAGCUUUUUGAGUUUACAGGAACAUCAGCUGAAGUGGAAGUUGGAUCAAUUACAAAUUAGGUAAAGAAGAUGCGGCUUGUCCAGAGGCAGCAGUAGCUAAGGUUGCUUUUUCCCCAGGUUGGGGUAGGUGUCAAUCACCACAUAGAAAAUAUAGGUUAAUCGUCUUAGGCUUUUUGUAUUUACAGCUAAUUCCAGGUAUGAGCACUGGACUUGUGUUUUCUUUUUUCCCUAUGCUUUUCUUAGGACUCCAACUAUUUAAGAUAACAAUGAUUAUCUAAAUUGUUCUUUAGCACUAACUACUUUUCUGGUGAUCUAAGAGUUUAAACCUAAGUUGAUAUAGUGCUACCAAGCUCUAAGUUCCCUUCUAGAGGUCAAAUAAGGGCUUGCACAAAUCAAUAUAGUUCAUGUAGGGAUAAGGCUGUGAUAUAGGCACCUGAAGCUUAAUUUGAUGCUUUCUGAGGUCAUCUGGCCUGUUUGUAAAUGGAUGUACAUUCUUUUCGUACAAGGUACUUUCCUGUUUUAGGUGUUGAAGGUAGAGGCAAGUUAAGCACACACCUUAUAAAAAUAGUUACUUUCUGAGUUCAAAAGCAGUUGACUUAGGAUGAAGGUUAGUUAAUGAUGGAUUUGGAGAGCAAGAUUAUCUAGAAAAAGGCAUGAUGCAGUGGUAGUGUCCGGUAAUGUAGUAGGCUUGUGAUGAACAGAAGUGAAUUUGAACUAAUGGCUAUGUAACUUGUCAAACUGCUGACCUUUGAGGUAAUGAGAAUGAUGCUGGAUGUUUUAUUUACAAUCUUCUGAGCAUCAUAAAAGAAUUGUAGGAGUCAGCAUGCUUGUCAGAGAUGUUAAAUCAUGUAAAUAAAUAAUCAACAAUUACAUUAAAAAAAAAAAAAAAAAAAACGCAAGAGGAUAUUCUUGCAAUGUUUGUGAAGUGUUCGUUGCUUGAGCACCCUUUGAUAUGUCUGGUGUGAGAAGGGACCGUGCUGCAAGGACUUGUCCAAGGCUGCCCCAUGGUUUGUUUGUAGCUGAUGCUGGUUGGUUGGUUAUUUGAAUAAUAGACCCUGAGAAUUUGUUUUCAGCUGCUAGUACGCCUAUCCUUAUAGUACCGUUCUUCAACUUUUCCAUGUUAAGGUCUUCUUUUCAGCACUCUGUUUUACGCUUCCCAGGAAAGCUGCAUUUGAAAGAAAGGACUCCCGUAGCAGCAGGCUGUGUACCUGGAAACAAUCUUCAGCACUUAAGUUAGAGUAAGGUUUAGUUGAUCACUUUCAGUGCUGCUAAGAUGAUGAAAAUGAGUAUUUGGAUUUCUUGUGCAUCACAAGCAAUGAUUCACUGCUGCCACUAGCUAUAUUUUUCCAGUAACUGCAAUGCAACAUUCGAUCUAUAUUGCAACAUGGCAAGAAAGUCCUCCUAGUAUUCUGAAUCCUUUGCAGGUUGCAGUUGGUUUUACAGCUGUAUGCAUUUUUUUCCUAGAUUUGACCUUCAGUCUGUCUUGCUUAUUGUGUCAGGGAACUCCUUUGGGCUGUCAGAUGUCUGGACCUCCUCUAUCACAGUGUGCCAGUUCCGCAGGGCAGCGUCCCGGUAUGUCCUGGCCUGAUGGCCACUGCCACUGGGAACUGGAUGCGAGUUAUCCGCUGUGCCCAGGGGCAAGGCGAAGGGGGAACUGGCGGCAGAGGUGUCUUUUUGUCUUGUCAUACCUCGGAUUAAAUGUGGCUGAACCAGAUUUAGUUAGCAGCAGAGUUUGGGGCUGGAUUCUAGCUUGCUGCCUGACCUGUUCUUCCCGUGAAAACGACUUCCCCCACAAGCUAACAAGUCUGGAAGCACGAGAAUCCAUCUAACGUCAUAUGUUACAGACAGCGCAUCUUUUUUGUCUGUCCUGAGCUGUGCAUCUUACCAUCUCAUCACCUAUAUUCUCUUCCUAAUGGUGCCUCAUUAAUAUUUUAGGCAUUGUGAUCCUUUAAGGCGCGUUUCUACAGGCGAAGCCAGCACAUACCUGUGACACCCUGAAGCCGGUCUGGCUGCUGAGGACGUUAUGCCAGAGAGCCUUGCGGUCCUCGCACAGUCCUGGUUCCUUACAUCUUAUCUGAGAGCCCUGCCCAGUCAACAGCAUGGAAUUCUGUUUAUCCAGCUCGGCAAGAUAAAGGCGCAAGUUGCAAGGGUUUAGACUGAUACUGCCAGGCUUUUCCGUAUUCCUGUGUGGAACAUUAAACCACUCCUGUUUGUAUUCUUUCAUCUCCAGGGUUUUGAACGGCUGCUUGUUUUUCACUUUAAUCACUUUGUUGGUUUACCUUAAACUUUUCCUCUUAAAACACUAAUCCAUGUAGGAUUAUUAAUUUGCUCAUUUUUUGAAUGAGCUUACUGUGAGAGUGAUUUUUAUCUGCUGUUUUGAGGUAAUGGGUAUAUAUCAUGCUGUUUUCUCUUGUAGUUUUCCCAGCAGUUUUUUUUAUUAGUUAGAACUGAAAUAGAGAUUGCUUUUUAUUUAUUUAUUUAUUUUUCCUAGUCUGUUUACUUGCUUUUGAACUUUAAUCCUCUAGACAGAAGUUCAGUUUUCUUGUUCGGAGCAAUGGGCCUUGAUUGGGGGUGUAACUAGCUUCGUCACUUGUAUUUUUUGCCUUUUUAUUCCCCUCAGGAAGUAUUCUGUGAUGUGUUUCUAAAUUGGAUUUUUCCUUCUUCAACAAAAAGUUUUUUCCCUCCUCUUCCUGGUAUAUCAAAUCUGGGAAAGAUUGCUUUGAUAGUUCUUCAUUCCUGGGGGGGGGGGGGGGUGGUCUACUGUCCUGCUCUUUCUUUGCCUUUAUUUACAUAGGCAGAGACCGAACUGUAUUGCAUUUCUCAUCAGAUGCAAUUUGACUUUACUGUUAUUCCUGCAGUUAUUUGAUGCAAUUUGGGAAACUCAUAAUAUACUCCUUUUAACUGAUUUCUGUUGGAAAUGAUUUUGCAAGCCUUCAGGACCGAAGAUUUCUAGAAUUCUGUUUUACUCUCAAGUCUUUUAGAUGUAUGCUAUAUAGUGAGGGCUUUGAAUCCUUUUGAGUAUUUCUUUUCUUGUCUGUCAGCUUCUGUUAGUCUUGCAGUAAACUUCAGUCCUAUCUUGGUAAAGUAAAUGCAUGCAGGUCAUUGUGUUGGGAGUCAAGUUAAUUUUUAUGCUCUUGUAAACACAAACAUUUCACAGUUUUAAUUGAUUUUUUUUUUUUUUUUUUUUUUUUUUUACUUCUGUUAGCUUAUUUAGCUCUUAGAAAAAUGUAUGAUUACUUAGACUCUCUAUUUUUGGGGGAAAGACAAUCUAAUUUGAAUGAAAUCACUGCUUUGGGGAAAGAGAAAGGAGGUGGCUUCUGCACUGGCUGGAUCAGCUGAGCUGAGCCUCCUGGGCAGUGGGAUAAGCAGAUUUUUUUUAUUCAGGUAGCUGGCACUCUUGGCAUGAUCUGAGGUACUUGAUAUUAGAAGUUGCUAGUCCUUUUAAGUUUGUGGGCUAUGAUAAAUCAGAUUGUCAUGUCAGGGAGCACGCUUGUUUGUUUUACUGCCUUGUGACUCUUCUGUUCUUAGAAGCAGCCCAGUUUGUCAUACAGUCCUGUCCGCUGCAUGCAGCAGUGGCUGCCCAGCCCUUUCUCUGCCUCGCACCUGACAAGUAAUGUGAGGUCCAUUUUGCCAUCUUCUCAGGUAUUUCUUAGUUGCAGUCAGUUUGGAGGGUAACACAACUUUGUUCAAGUCAACUGGAUGACUUUAGCUUUUCUGUAUAGAAUGAGUAUAAUCUUGUUGAAAUAACAAAUCAUCUAGACUGAUGUUCAUAUAGAGAAGUCAAUGUUUAAUAUUCAGUCUGAUGGUGCUGAGGAUUAGACGUUGAGCAUUAGAGACUAAAGAUACCUUGGUAUAUUGUGGCCUGAAUUAAAAGACCAGGUAGUGCCAAAUUUCUGGCUCCUAACAGCAAGCUUGAGAAACGACUGUAUGAUAAUCCCCUGCAUGACUAGUCAUGUGGAAUUUCAGAAUAUUCUUGCAAUAUUUAAAGGUACUUUACUGCCGACACAGUAUUCCAGGGGGAAGAUCAGUCUGCACUGACUCUGACAGAGAUUCAGCAACUACCAAAUUCGUCGUCUCUCUCCAGAGAAAAAGUUCCGUGUGCGACUGAAGGAGAACAAUAUGCUGUACUGCCAGUGUGGUACUGCUCUUGAUGGCGGUUGUAACAGAUCUGGGCUGUAGCUCUCAGUGCAUCAAAUACAGGAAGAUAAAAAAUGGGCCUCUUGGGCAAACAGUUACAUAGCAGAAUUCUUUGGCGCAAGAGCAUUGAAGCCAGAAGUUUCUUGGCGUUCUGACCGCAUUCCUUUUCCAGUAUGCGCUCAGAAUAACUCGGGACUUUUUGGAGCAGAAGUGGGACAAACUUUUGAAAGUAGAUACAAAAGUCUAGGCUCAGUUUAGCUGUUUGCUUGCAGCUUUGAAAAUGCAUUAGGUUUGAUAAAAUUGCUGCUUGGUAGGGGGCUGUAAUCCUUUUUCUCUGAUUUAAAGUAACUUAAAAAUUCUGUAAUGCUUAAACAAAACCAGAUGCUAUUGAUUAUGUUGUUUGUUCAUUUUGAAUGUUUUGCUUAUAUUGAGAGAGAGGAAAAGUUUCUGUACAUAUUGGUGGUACAGCAUAAAUGCAUUUGACCUUUUUUGGUCUUCAUAAGAAUUGCUUUGGUUUUGUAAUUGGGCUUCAGUGAAAGCCACAGUUCUGUGCUAUGCCUUAAAGUUUGAUCUGUUUUUGUUCACUUCUGUGACUUCAAAGUGGUUUUGUUUUGGGUUUCAGAUGGACUAAGAUUGCAUUUGUAGUACAAGCAAAAAUGCUUCCUGAAUUUGAGUUUGGUUUAUUCCACUCAAAAUUCUUUAAUCUUCCACUGGAAAUUAUAAAACUUGGUGGUGGAAUUAUAUUACACGUCUUCACGUGGGAUGUAUAAGACAAGGCCUCUGGAAAUGUGAUAUUGCACCAGCUCUGGUCUUGAGGUCAGAAGCACUGAAAGAAAUAAGAGCGAGGAGAGCUGCUCCUGGCUGCUGCGGGUGGCACCACGGGAGCCCUUUGAGGACGACGACGUGAGCAGCUGCUGCGAGGCACCGAGGGGAUGACCGUAUGGUCUUGGUGUUGCGCCUUGGUAGAUGCCCAUGUUCUCUUUUACAGUAAAUGUGUGGUGGCUUUUCCACAUGAGGAAGUGGGGUACAGCGUAACAGAAUGGGACAUGCCCACCUGUGCUGUUUCUGCCUGUGCCUUGGUUUACAUAGUGUCAGUGAAGUUGGUGUAAACUUGAAGAUGGGGAUUGAUUCUGAAUCAAAAAAUCGUUUCUGCUUGAGAGUAUGAAUUAGCCUGGGCAGGAAAAUGUAGAUAUUUACUCAGAUGGGAUGAGGUGGUGUCUUUUUCAAUAUUGUUUUUUGAAGGAGGUGAUUUUGCAUGUGUUGAAGGUGUUUCUGGGGGAAGUAAACAAGUGCAAAUCUACACUGGCAUAAUUCAACUGCAGAAAGUGUCUGUUCCAUUGUAAACACAGUAACCACUUCAGCGGAAAAUUCUGAAAUACACACUGCAAUCUGGAGGGAUGGGCAUUGUGGUUAAAUAUUAACACACAUAAAAACAUACAGCUGUUGGAAGUAUACCUCAGAGUGAGCUCUUUCUUCAUGUUAGCAUGUUGCGAGAUGGAUCUCUACCAGUCAAUGCCCAGGCUUUGUAUUCAGCCCUUCCACUUGUGACUAUGCGGUGUUUAGUAAACAUAACUGUCCUGUGUACUUUCUCAGAGGAGUACAGCCAGCAUAUUUUACAAUGUGUUUUAAAGCUGUCUAGGGAACAGGUAAUAGUAACAAUGAAAGGAUUAGCUUGGUCUUGAGAAUUUCAUUGAUUAAAAUUAUUCUUGGAAAUAUUCUAAUAAUAAGAACCAAGAUUCUAUAAUUUUUUAAUGUAAAGUAAAUGUCAAGAUAAUCUGACAUACGCAGUAUUAAGAACUGCAUCAAUAUUCUAUUCAAAAGCUCAUUUUUUUAAGAGGAUUUGAGGUUUCCAAUGUCUAAUUCUAGCCUACUUUAAUACUAAGAUCUUCCAACUCAGCAGUAUGUACUUCAUUGUCAGAGCAAUCAUGAGAUGCAUGCCAUCGCUGGGUGCCCUGGAGUGGCCUACUGUUGUUAUGCAAUGGACCAUGUGUUGUGGAAGGACAAAGGCUUCUUGAUAAAUUGCCUAUAAAAACUGUAUUUGGAAUAUUACGGUUUUGCCAUGUAAGUACCUAUGUACUUAGGUAUGUCCUUCCUUACAGCACCUGCAGUACAACAAAGUUUCGUAGCUCCUGGUUGCAGUUAUCUCAGCAGGACUACACAGUGUGAUGAACAGUAAAUUGGAAGAUGACUAGUUGAUUAUCUGUGUCUUGUAGAAGAAGGCUUAAUAGAAGAAGGCAUAAAGAAUAAAUCCAAAGAACAGCAUUGGCUUUGGAAAACUGUUGUCAAAAGUGUGUCUUUUGUAAAUUUCACUGUAAUGAAAUCCUAGUUAUGUCUGCUACAAAAA